UGAAUGGAAUCAGUUUAGCCCAGAAUGGAAUGGGCCAUUCCAUUCCAAAAAUAAAAAUUUCUGUUUGGUUGGCCCAAAGAAUGGAAUAACCCAUUCUUUUAUUCAUUCCAAUCCAUCGACUAAUCAGACAAUCGAUUCAUUUCUGAAAGCGCGGGUUAAGCCCAUUCCAUUCACGCAGCUCUCCACCUCUAUCACGCAGCUCUCCCUCGCCUCUCUCACGCAGCUCUCCCUCGCCUCUCUCUCCGCCUCUCGCCUCUCUUUCUCGCAUCUCUCUCUCAUCUCUCUCUUCCUCACAUCUCUCUCUUCCUUUUCUGCCUCUCCCCCUCUCUUCAGCUAAUCCUUUAUCUGGAAAGCAGCUAGAAUCUUCAAACCACGCAUCUCAACGAUUCCUUUUAUCAUUUGCAAUGAUUUUCAAACCUAAAUUAAUCUAAGCAUACAGGUACCUUUAUUUCGAUGGAAAAAACACAUCCCUUGCUGCUAUUAGUAUUGUCAUUGUGAGAGGAAUCACCAUUCAAGUCACUAUCUUCUAUCAUAUCCAGAUAGAGAGAUAACUAGACCUGCAUCCACCACUGGAAGAUGAUGUCUGUUUAACUCUACAUUAUGGAAUAAUGCCUGCACGUGUUGCGGUUCUCCAGUGUUCUCAUAUUCACUUCCCAAAUUUUGUAUUUUAUUUGUAAGUUAUGAAGGAGAAUUGAUAGUGGCCAAAGUUUGGAUUUUAUUUGUAAAUUUGUAAUAUUUAUUAUAGUUGAUUUUAUGCUAAUAAUUUGUGUAAUGAAAUGGGAAGUAUGCUAUUGAUAUAAAAUUAAUUAAUUUGUGUA